AGAAAGACUAGUCAAAAAACAGGCAGAGGCUGGUUCAGGCAGUUAUACAGGGAUGGCCAGGAACAGACAGAAGUCAAAACACAGACAAUCCGCACAAGGAACACACCCAGGAAUUGACAUACGCUGGGCAGUGAGUACACAGUCGUGGCACCUUUAAAUAUUUGAAUUUUGUGCCAAAAUGACAUCAGACACAGCGCCCUGUACAAAAAGGCAUGCAGCACAGUGAGGAGGAUGGCAGCUGUCCCCAGGGUUGCCCUACUAGACCACCAGGUAUUGUUACAAAUAAAACACAUGCACCACAGGGUAGAUGAUCUGGCAGAAUUCAAGAUACACCUUAAGGACUACCGGCAAGUGAUCCAGAUCCCCUUUCAGUAGAAAUGUUCAGGCCAGGAGCUGUGCCUGUAUAAGGAUUUGCUCUGCACCCCUCCCUGUGGUUCUGCUUUGAUCUGUAUCAUGCUACUGCAAUGUUCUGCUAAGUGGAUUGGCUCAAGGUCAAGGAAUGUUUGACCCAGAGGUCAACUGCUUAAACCCGGCAGUAAACAAAUUUAAAGGCACUGCAGAAUAUAUAACAGAGAGAAGCAGCAAUACUUUUGCUGACAAAGGGGAUGAGCAAGAAGAUUUUUCACACUAUUACCGAACAUGGAAGUGUACAAUGUUUAAAAACCUUGAGGACUUUGGAAAUUUCAGGACUUUUGGCAGUCAAAGGGUUACUGUAAAAUGCUCAUUCAGGGAAAGGCCAGUAAACCUGAACACUUUAUGAUUUAAGGAAAUCUAUAAACCACAGAAUGAUUUUCUCCAUAUGUACUAACAAGGACAAAGUUUAGCCAGGUUUACUUUUAAACAGGUGACCAGUAAAUCUUACCUGCUUAUUGCAUGUUAAAGGUAACUGCACAUUUUUCAAGCUCUGCACCUUUUAUUGCCUAACUCUAAGUUUGCUGUAUAAAAUUUUGAUUUCACCACAAAAUGAAUGAGUUUUGCCUAAUAAGUAAGUACAUUUAGAAAAUCCCCAUUUGGUAUACCCUGGCAUCCCAGCCCAUAGACCAGGCUGUCCUACAGAAGGCCUGUGGGCUGGAUGUGUCCCUCCAAAGUAUUUUUAUGACAUUUUGCCUGCUCAUGGGCUCCAUAGACAGCUGUGCAUGCCAUCAAUCAUUUGGCCAACAAACAAGUAUUUGCCAAUUAACUGGCCCACUACAUUGCACAACACUGCCAUAGAUCAUGUCUAAAUUACUCACUUACUCUAUGUACAGUAUAUGUAUAGCACUUUAAAUACAAAGGCCUAUAAUCAUCAUCUUACAUGGGCAGCAAGAAUACAGUUUCUUCCUAUGACUUGUGAUUUUUGCAUUCUUUUGGGGAAUAAAGGCUGGGAGGACAUGCAGAUCAUGGGCAAUUUAGCCAUACAAGUUUGUGGCAAAGAAUAACAGAUGCUUAAAGGUUACACUUUUGGCACUUGGGAUAAAUAUAUAAAUUGUUUAACAUACAGGCAAAUAGAAUGAUCAAGUCAAACAGGGACUCAACAAAAGUUCUCAGUUCUAUUAGAGGCAUUAAUUGCUGUCAACUGUCAAUUCAUGGAAUAAAACUGGCAAAGCAAAUGGCAUGCUUUCCUGGGCUGUACUGAAUACUGCUCCUCAGUGCCCUAGAAAUGUCAAGCCCCUAACAACUAUACGUUCCAUACCUUAUGGACAUGUGUUUGUUUGGACCAGGCACAAUAAAAAGGCACAUUAUGAGUGAAUUAUUGAUAUAAUUCAUACAGUUUACAAAGCCCAAAAGAAAAAAGGAUUGAGAGACAGUAAGACAAAAACUGUAGGAAAACAAGAAAAAGGCUCUGUCAUCAAAUGCAAAUGACAGAUGGUGAUUGGCAGAUUUUGAAAUGGCUGCUGUGAUCUUGGGAAAUAAUUGUAUUUGUCUUGGACAUUCUAUUGUUCCUUAACCAAAUCUGUACUUUGUACAA